rnacentral:lncRNA from 1 species
GUGAGACAAACUUAAAUUUUAAUUAAUUUUUACAAUUUGGUGAAGAUAAGCUCAAGUUAUAGGUGCAUAUAUAAUUAUGGACUGACGUCAAACGAGUUCCGCUGGCUUUAGAAAUACAGUCAAUUACUCUAGAUUACAACAUGGUGAAAUUAUAUAUGGACUAUAAUAAAUCUUCGAGUAAUAUACCCUCGAUAUACAGAGCAGAGCAAUCUGCUCAUCAUACAAUAUUACUACAAUGCUAUAUACAAUAAAUUACAAUGAAACGUUUUAUGGAUAACAAAGCUUUUUCAAGUAAUAUACCUCUUCGUCCUCUCAAUAAUUAUACAGAGCACAGUCAUUUGCUCAAAGAUGUCAAGUACAUAUUUAGUGCCAGAAUGUUUCCUGCGGCGUUCUAGACGCAAGCUCGAAAUUACCAAUCAGACUGCAAUUCACUAAUUCAACAUUAAUUACUUAUUCAGUUUGUACAUUUAGAAUAUUCAGAGCAUACUUAUCUGCUCAAAGAUGUCAAGUACACAUUCAGAGCCAGAAUGUUCCCCGCGUUAGCACUGGUUGAAAAUUCACGCAAACAUUUCGG